UAGUACUUAAAUGGAAAACGUUUGGGACAACCAGAACCCUUCUUAGAGCUGGCCGUCCGGCCAAACUGAGCUCUCGGGGGGGAAGAGCCUUGGUGAGAGAGGUAAAGAAG